rnacentral:rRNA from 1 species
GCGGAGGAAAAGAAACUAACCAGGAUUGCCGUAGUAAGGGCGACUGAAGUGGCAAAAGCUCAACUUGUGAAUCGGUGGCCGAAUUGUGGUCUUGUUUGCGCUAGUGGCCGGGCCAAGUCCGUUGGAAUGCGGCAGCAGAGAGGGUGACACUCCCGUUCGCCUGGCCUUUGGAGCAAGCAUAGUAGAGUCGAGUUGUUUGGGAUUGCAGCUCAAAGCGGGUGGUAAAUUCCAUCGAAAGCUAAAUACUGGUGGGAGACCGAUAGCGUACAAGUACCGUGAGGGAAAGAUGCAAAGAAGCGCGAAAGCGCUGUUAAAGAGUACCUGAACUUGCUGAAGCGGAAGCGAAGGGAACCAGUGCCAGCUGCGUCAUACUUCCCUGUUUGCUUGCGGACAGGGCGCUGUGGCCAGCGUUGUGCGGCUUGGUGGGGAUGGGCGGAAAGGAGCUGGGGGAGUUGACCCCUGUUUC